rnacentral:rRNA from 1 species
AUUGAACGCUGGCGGCAUGCUUUACACAUGCAAGUCGAACGGCAGCGCGGGCUUCGGCCUGGCGGCGAGUGGCGAACGGGUGAGUAAUACAUCGGAACGUGCCCAGUAGUGGGGGAUAGCUCGGCGAAAGCCGGAUUAAUACCGCAUACGACCUGAGGGUGAAAGCGGGGGAUCUUCGGACCUCGCGCUAUUGGAGCGGCCGAUGGCAGAUUAGCUAGUUGGUGGGGUAAAGGCCUACCAAGGCGACGAUCUGUAGCUGGUCUGAGAGGACGACCAGCCACACUGGGACUGAGACACGGCCCAGACUCCUACGGGAGGCAGCAGUGGGGAAUUUUGGACAAUGGGCGAAAGCCUGAUCCAGCAAUGCCGCUUGUGUGAUGAAGGCCUUCGGGUUGUAAAGCACUUUUGGCGGGAACGAAAAGGACUGUGCCAAUACCACGGUUCGAUGACGGUACCCGCAGAAUAAGCACCGGCUAACUACGUG